rnacentral:SRP_RNA from 1 species
CCGUGCUAGACGGGGAAUUAGCGGUGCCCUGUAACCUGCAACCCGCUACAGCAGGGUCGAAUUCCUGAGCUGAGGGCUUACUUUGUAAGGUCUGCCUUGAAUAAGUGGUAAAGAAGUUCGG